AAAACUUUUUUUUCAGCUUCAAAUCGGAAAUAUAACUGCAACAAGUGGUGGACAGAUACAAAUCCAAAUUAAUAAGCUUAGUGCAAUGAGAAAUAAACUUAAUAUGAAAAAAUUAAGCAACAACGAACAACAGGUAUUUAUUUUGAGUUAUUAAGAUUCCAG